rnacentral:rRNA from 1 species
GGCAGGAGAAGUCCUGCCAUCCGAAAGGAAGACAAACCCGGGGAACUGAAACAUCUAAGUACCCGGAGGAAGAGAAAUCAAACGAGAUACCCAAAGUAGCGGCGAGCGAAAUGGGCACAAGCCCAAACCGUAUCACUUCGGUGGUACGGGGUUGAGGACUGACAAAAAGGAUGGAACGUUUAGGCGAAUGACCUGGAAAGGUCAGGCACAGCGGGUAAAACCCCCGUAGCCGAAAGGCGGGUCAUCCGGGUCAGUAUCCAGAGUAUCGCGGGGCACGAGGAACCUUGCGAGAAACAGGGGGGACCACCCUCCAAGGCAAAAUACUACCUGGCGACCGAUAGCGCAU